GAUGAACGCUGGCGGCGUGCCUAAUACAUGCAAGUCGAGCGAACAGACGAGGAGCUUGCUCCCUUGACGUUAGCGGCGGACGGGUGAGUAACACGUGGAUAACCUACUUAUAAGACUGGGAUAACUUCGGGAAACCGGAGCUAAUACUGGAUCAUAUAUUGAACCGCAUGGUUCAAUAGUGAAAGACGGUUUUCCUGUCACUUAUAGAUGGAUCCGCGCCGCAUUAGCUAGUUGGUAAGGUAACGGCUUACCAAGGCGACGAUGCGUAGCCGACCUGAGAGGGUGAUCAGCCACACUGGAACUGAGACACGGUCCAGACUCCUACGGGAGGCAGCAGUAGGGAAUCUUCCGCAAUGGGCGAAAGCCUGAUGGAGCAACGCCGCGUGAGUGAUGAAGGUCUUCGGAUCGUAAAACUCUUUUGUUGGGGAAGAACAGAUGUGUAUGUAACUAUGCACGUCUUGACGGUACCUAAUCAGAAAGCCACGGCUAACUACGUG
rnacentral:rRNA from 1 species